GUGGAUCUUCCCAACAAUGGAAAAGCCAUGGACCUCAAGUGGGAAUUUAUGAUCAAGAGAGAUGCCGAAGGGUCCGUGAAGCACAAAGCGAGGCUAGUAGCCAAAGGGUACGUGCAAGAGGAAGGUGUGGACUUCGAAGAAGUGUUUGUUCCCGUUGCAAAGAUGGAAUCGGUGAGAUUACUCAUAGCUCUUGCGGCUCAAGAGUCAUGGAGGAUACAUCACAUGGAUGUAAAAUUUGUGUUUUUGAACGGAGAGUUAGCAGGAGACACUUAUGUGAACCAGCCACCGGGGCUCAUCAAAGAGGGAGAAGAACACAAGGUACUGAAGCUACACAAAGUCUUGUAUGGGCUACAGCAAGGUACAUGUGACGUCGUCGUGAUUAGGGGGUGA
rnacentral:rRNA from 1 species